GAGUUUGAUCCUGGCUCAGAACGAACGCUGGCGGCAGGCUUAACACAUGCAAGUCGAACGCCCUCGCAAGGGGGAGUGGCAGACGGGUGAGUAACACGUGGGAACAUACCCUUCGGUUCGGAAAAACUUCGGGAAACUGGAGCUAAUACCGGAUACGGCCUCCGAGUGAGAGCUUUGGGGCGAAAGAUUGAUCGCCGAAGGAUUGGCCCGCGUUCGAUUAGCUAGAUGGUGAGGUAACGGCUCACCAUGGCGACGAUCGAUAGCUGGUCUGAGAGGAUGGCCAGCCACAUUGGGACUGAGACACGGCCCAAACUCCUACGGGAGGCAGCAGUGGGGAAUAUUGGACAAUGGGCGCAAGCCUGAUCCAGCCAUGCCGCGUGAGUGAUGACGGCCUUAGGGUUGUAAAGCUCUUUCGCACGCGACGAUAAUGACGGUAGCGUGAGAAGAAGCCCCGGCUAACUUCGUGCCAGC
rnacentral:rRNA from 1 species